rnacentral:rRNA from 1 species
AGAGUUUGAUCCUGGCUCAGAUUGAACGCUGGCGGCAUGCCUUACACAUGCAAGUCGAACGGCAGCAUGAUCUAGCUUGCUAGAUUGAUGGCGAGUGGCGAACGGGUGAGUAAUACAUCGGAACGUGCCCUGUAGUGGGGGAUAACUAGUCGAAAGAUUAGCUAAUACCGCAUACGACCUGAGGGUGAAAGUGGGGGACCGCAAGGCCUCAUGCUAUAGGAGCGGCCGAUGUCUGAUUAGCUAGUUGGUGAGGUAAAGGCUCACCAAGGCGACGAUCAGUAGCUGGUCUGAGAGGACGAUCAGCCACACUGGGACUGAGACACGGCCCAGACUACUACGGGAGGCAGCAGUGGGGAAUUUUGGACAAUGGGCGAAAGCCUGAUCCAGCAAUGCCGCGUGUGUGAAGAAGGCCUUCGGGUUGUAAAGCACUUUUGUCCGGAAAGAAAUGGCUCUGGUUAAUACCUGGGGUCGAUGACGGUACCGGAAGAAUAAGGACCGGCUAACUACGUGCCAGCAGCCGCGGUAAUA